AGUGAACGCUGGCGGUAGGCCUAACACAUGCAAGUCGAACGGCAGCACAGUAAGAGCCUGCCCUUACGGGUGGCGAGUGGCGGACGGGUGAGGAAUACAUCGGAAUCUACUUUUUCGUGGGGGACAACGUAGGGAAACUUACGCUAAUACCGCAUACGACCUACGGGUGAAAGCAGGGGAUCUUCGGACCUUGCGCGACUGAAUGAGCCGAUGUCGGAUUAGCUAGUUGGCGGGGUAAAGGCCCACCAAGGCGACGAUCCGUAGCUGGUCUGAGAGGAUGAUCGGCCACACUGGAACUGAGACACGGUCCAGACUCCUACGGGAGGCAGCAGUGGGGAAUAUUGGACAAUGGGCGCAAGCCUGAUCCAGCCAUGCCGCGUGGGUGAAGAAGGCCUUCGGGUUGUAAAGCCCUUUUGUUGGGAAAGAAAAGCAGCAGGUUAAUACCCCGCUGUUCUGACGGUACCCAAAGAGUAAGCACCGGCUAACUUCGUG
rnacentral:rRNA from 1 species